UCCAGUGUCUAUGACUUAGAGGUAACACUCCUUCCCAUUCCGAACAGGCAGGUUAAGCUCUAAUGUGCUGAUGGUACUGCAGGGGAAGCCCUGUGGAAGAGUAGGUCGACGCUGGGU
rfam:Clostridium pasteurianum DSM 525 = ATCC 6013, complete genome.